UGGCUCAUUCCUGGCUGUGGCUCAGGAAGCAGAGCCUGGGGCGUCUCCACCAUGGCCUGGGCUCCACUCCUCCUCACCCUCCUCGCUCACUGCACAGGGUCUUGGGCUGAGGUUGUGUUCACUCAGCCCCAUUCUGUGUCGGGGUCUCCGGGGCAGACGGUCACCAUCUCCUGCACCCGCAGCAGUGGCAGCAUUGACAGCAGAUAUGUGUACUGGUACCAGCAGCGCCCGGGCAGUGCCCCCACCACUGUGAUCUAUGACGAUAACCAAAGACCCUCUGGGGUCCCUGAUCGGUUCUCUGGCUCCAUCGACAGCUCCUCCAACUCUGCCUCUCUCACCAUCUCUGGGCUGAAGUCUGAGGACGAGGCUGAUUACUACUGUCAGUCUGCUAAUGACAGCCACAAUCCCACAGUACUCCAGACCCAUGGGGAACUGUCCUGGACAGUGUAA